GGAACCUGCGGAAGGAUCAUUACCGAGUUCUCGGGGCUUCGGCUCGAAUCUCCCACCCUUUGUGAACAUACCUCUGUUGCUUUGGCGGCUCUUUGCCGCGAGGAGGCCCUCGCGGGCCCCCCCGCGCGCUUUCCGCCAGAGGACCUUCAAACUCCAGUCAGUAAACGUCGACGUCUGAUAAACAAGUUAAUAAACUAAAACUUUCAACAACGGAUCUCUUGGUUCUGGCAUCGAUGAAGAACGCAGCGAAAUGCGAUAAGUAAUGUGAAUUGCAGAAUUCAGUGAAUCAUCGAAUCUUUGAACGCACAUUGCGCCCCCUGGCAUUCCGGGGGGCAUGCCUGUUCGAGCGUCAUUACAACCCUCAAGCUCUGCUUGGUAUUGGGCGCCGUCCUCUCUGCGGACGCGCCUUAAAGACCUCGGCGGUGGCUGUUCAGCCCUCAAGCGUAGUAGAAUACACCUCGCUUUGGAGCGGUUGGCGUCGCCCGCCGGACGAACCUUCUGAACUUUUCUCAAGGUUGACCUCGGAUCAGGUAGGGAUACCCGCUGAACUUAAGCAUAUCAAUAGCCGGAGGAA
rnacentral:rRNA from 1 species